rnacentral:rRNA from 1 species
GACGAACGCUGGCGGCGUGCCUAACACAUGCAAGUCGAACGGGGCAAUUCCUUCGGGGAUUGCUUAGUGGCGAACGGGUGAGUAACGCGUGAGAAACCUGCCUUUCAGUGGGGGACAACAGUUGGAAACGACUGCUAAUACCGCAUAAUGUUAUUUGAGGGCAUCCUCGAAUAACCAAAGCUUUAUGUGCUGAAAGAUGGUCUCGCGUCUGAUUAGCUAGAUGGCGGGGUAACGGCCCACCAUGGCGACGAUCAGUAGCCGGUCUGAGAGGAUGAACGGCCACAUUGGGACUGAGAUACGGCCCAGACUCCUACGGGAGGCAGCAGUGGGAAUAUGGGCAAUGGGCGCAAGCCUGACCCAGCAACGCCGCGUG